AAGACCUUGCGCUUUUGGAGCGGCCGAUGUCUGAUUAGCUUGUUGGUGAGGUAAAGGCUUACCAAGGCUUCGAUCAGUAGCUGGUCUGAGAGGACGGCCAGCCACACUGGGACUGAGACACGGCCCAGACUCCUACGGGAGGCAGCAGUGGGGAAUUUUGGACAAUGGGGGCAACCCUGAUCCAGCCAUGCCGCGUGAGUGAAGAAGGCCUUCGGGUUGUAAAGCUCUUUCAGCCGGAAMGAAACGGUUACGAUUAAUACCCGUAACUACUGACGGUACCGGAAGAAGAAGCACCGGCUAACUACGUGCCAGCAGCCGCGGUAAUACGUAGGGUGCGAGCGUUAAUCGGAAUUACUGGGCGUAAAGSGUGCGCAGGUGGUUUUGUAAGUCAGAUGUGAAAUCCCCGGGCUCAACCUGGGAACU
rnacentral:rRNA from 1 species